rnacentral:rRNA from 1 species
GACGAACGCUGGCGGCGUGCCUAAUACAUGCAAGUAGAACGCUGAAGGAGGAGCUUGCUUCUCUGGAUGAGUUGCGAACGGGUGAGUAACGCGUAGGUAACCUGCCUGUUAGCGGGGGAUAACUAUUGGAAACGAUAGCUAAUACCGCAUAAGAGUAGAUGUUGCAUGACAUUUGCUUAAAAGGUGCAAUUGCAUCACUACCAGAUGGACCUGCGUUGUAUUAGCUAGUUGGUGGGGUAACGGCUUACCAAGGCGACGAUACAUAGCCGACCUGAGAGGGGGAUCGGCCACACUGGGACUGAGACACGGCCCAGACUCCUACGGGAGGCAGCAGUAGGGAAUCUUCGGCAAUGGACGGAAGUCUGACCGAGCAACGCCGCGUGAGUGAAGAAGGUUUUCGGAUCGUAAAGCUCUGUUGUAAGAGAAGAACGAGUGUGAGAGUGGAAAGUUCACACUGUGACGGUAUCUUACCAGAAAGGGACGGCUAACUACGUG